rnacentral:rRNA from 1 species
UACAGAGGUCUCAAGCGUUGUUCGGAUUCAUUGGGCGUAAAGGGCGCGUAGGCGGCGGGGUCAGUCGGGUGUGAAAUCUUGGGGCUUAACCCCGAAACGGCACUCGAAACUGCCCGGCUGGAGGGCCGGAGAGGAGAUCGGAAUUCACGGUGUAGCAGUGAAAUGCGUAGAGAUCGUGAGGAAGACCCGUGGCGAAGGCGGAUCUCUGGACGGCUAACUGACGCUGAGGCGCGAAGGCCAGGGGAGCAAAUGGG